rnacentral:rRNA from 1 species
UGGGGAAUAUUGGACAAUGGGGGCAACCCUGAUCCAGCAAUUCUGUGUGCACGAUGAAGGUUUUCGGAUUGUAAAGUGCUUUCAGCAGGGAAGAAAAAAAUGACGGUACCUGCAGAAGAAGCGACGGCUAAAUACGUGCCAGCAGCCGCGGUAAUACGUAUGUCGCAAGCGUUAUCCGGAAUUAUUGGGCAUAAAGGGCAUCUAGGCGGCCAGAUAAGUCUGGGGUGAAAACUUGUGGCUCAACCGCAAGCCUGCCCUGGAAACUAUGUGGCUAGAGUACUGGAGAGGUGGACGGAACUGCACGAGUAGAGGUGAAAUUCGUAGAUAUGUGCAGGAAUGCCGAUGAUGAAGAUAGUUCACUGGACGGUAACUGACGCUGAAGUGCGAAAGCUAGGGGAGCAAACAGGAUUAGAUACCCUGGUAGUCCUAGCUGUAAACGAUGAUUACUGGGUGUGGGCAUGAAGAGUGUCCGUGCCGAAGCUAAUGCGAUAAGUAAUCCGCCUGGGGAGUACGGCCGCAAGGCUG